ensembl:lncRNA
CAGGCACUCCACGUCCCUUUUCUCUGCCUUCUGACUUUAGCUUACUUGUGGCUUUGAGGCUCCAUGGCAGACUGCCCUCUAGAUGUAUUCUCAGCUCCUACUCCCACAACCAACUGACUCUCUCUACAUCUUGAUCCUUUCUCUUAAAGCCAAAGAAAUGGCUUUCUGCAGUGUCACUGCCAUCAGGCCAGUAAGGGCAGUCUGGGAAGAUCCUUGGUAUUGAGCCAUCUUAUUCCACGGGGUCACAAAGAGUCAGGCACAACUUAGUAACUGAACAACAACAAUAGGCCAUUGAUUAAUCUGCAGCCUGACCCAUGUUGGUCUGGGUGCUCACCCUGAUGAGGAGGGUGGAACAAUAUAUGACUUCCCACCCUGAGCAGGAGACUGAAGGGGACAACACCAAUACUGACCUAUAAACACCACAGUCUCUAAGGCCUUUGUGACAGCCAGCCACUGAUUGAAGGAGUAUAACGGGGAGACUCAAGUCAAAUAAAUAUUUUUCAGGUGCCUUGAGAGUACCUUGGAAGGAAAGUUCUGACCAACCUAGACAGCAUAUUAAAAAGCAGAGACAUAACUUUGCCAACAAAGGUCCGUCUAGUCAAGGCUAUGGUUUUUUCCAGUGGUCAUGUAUGGAUGUGAGAGUUGGACUGUGAAGAAAGCUGAGCGCUGAAGAAUUGAUGCUUUUGAACUGUUGUGUUGAAGACUCUUGAGAGUCCCUUGGACUGCAAGGAGAUCCAACCAGUCCAUCCUAAAGGAGAUCAGUCCUGGGUGUUCAUUGGAAGAAUUGAUGUUGAAGCUGAAACUCCAAUACUUUGGGCACCUGAUGCGAAGAAUUGACUUAUCUGAAAAGACCCUGUUGCUGGGAAAGAUUGAAGGGUUUCUUCCUGAACGAGAGAUAGAACUCGUGUCUCCUGCAUUUGUAGGUGGAUUUGACCCUUGGUCUAGGAACUAGAUCCCACAUGCCACAACUAAAAAAGAUCCUACAUGUCUCAGCAAAAAUCGAAGAUCCUGCGUGCUGCGGAACAGUUAAACAAUUUUUUUUUAAC